GAUGAACGCUGACAGAAUGCUUAACACAUGCAAGUCGAUGGGGAAGUGGUGCUUGCACCAUGGUAACCAUGGCGGACGGGUGGGUAACGCGUAAGGAACUUACCUGCGGGACCGGGAUAACAGCAGGAAACUGCUGACAAGACCGGAUAAGGUCAUUAAGCUGCAUAGCUUAGUGAUGAAAGGAGACGCCUGCGGAGAGCCUUGCGUCCUAUUAGCUAGUUGGAGGGGUAACGGCCCACCAAGGCGAAGAUAGGUAGCCGGCCUGAGAGGGUGGACGGCCACAAGGGGACUGAGAUACGGCCCUUACUCCUACGGGAGGCAGCAGUGGGGAAUAUUGGACAAUGGGGGCAACCCUGAUCCAGCAAUGCUGUGUGCACGAAGACGGUUUUCGGAUUGUAAAGUGCUUUCAGCAGGGAAGAAGGAAGUGACGGUACCUGCAGAAGAAGCGACGGCUAAAUACGU
rnacentral:rRNA from 1 species